AUAUUUACCUGGCAGGGGAGACACCAUGAUUAUGAAGGUGGCUCUCCCAGGGCAAAGAUCGUCCCCUGCACUCUAGGGUGAAAAGAGAUUAUUUAAUUAUUUAAUGUACAGCACACAUUAUUUGGGUGAUGGAUACUCUAAAAGCUAUCA
rnacentral:snRNA from 1 species